CACAGAUGUUCAGGUAUGAGUCAUUGAAAAAUUAUCAUCCUUACUGUGAAAUAAGAUUGGUCAAGGCGAGGCUGGUCCUUCAAAGAAGGAAAACCCAACAUGGUGCAAUGUGUGCUGCAGGUAAGGCCGUGGUGUGAUUUUGAACGCAAAGUUGCCUCUGGCUCAAGUUCUCUUGGGCUCGAGUCCCAGGCUCUUGCUUGUAACUCCUCUAUUGCUUGUCACUGUUAUGUAGAGCAGUGUUUCUCAAGUUUGAGUGAAUCUUCAAAUAACCUGGUGGGCUUGUUGAAACACAUAUUCCUGAGUUGGAUGUCCAGAAAUUCGGAUUUAGUAGGUCUGUGGUGGGGCCCAGAAUAUUCAUUUUUAACAAGUUGCUAUGUGAUGUUGCUGCUGCUGCUGCCUCAAAAAAAAAAAAAAAAAAAUUCCAUGGAACGAUUGUAUGAAUGAUGUUAGGGGUUUUCCUGGUCAACAAUAAAGAUGUGAAACAGAUUUUCAAGGGACUUGUUAAGUGGGUGGUGAAGGAUUUGUUGACAUGCUCAAUGUAGGAAUUGAAAAUUAAUCAAAAGCCUUAGAGAACUAUUAGAGGAACUGAUAAGAUCACCAACAGAAGACAUUGCACUCUAUGGGGGACUUAUGGGGUUUUCAGGGGUAAUUUGAAUUGCGUAAAAUUUUCACUUUAUGGGCUAACC
rnacentral:lncRNA from 10 species